UACGAAGGGGGCUAGCGUUGUUCGGAAUCACUGGGCGUAAAGCGCACGUAGGCGGAUCUUUAAGUCAGGGGUGAAAUCCCGAGGCUCAACCUCGGAACUGCCUUUGAUACUGGGGAUCUCGAGUCCGGGAGAGGUGAGUGGAACUGCGAGUGUAGAGGUGAAAUUCGUAGAUAUCGCAAGAACACCAGUGGCGAAGGCGGCUCACUGGCCCGGAACUGACGCUGAGGUGCGAAAGCGUGGGGAGCAAACAGGG
rnacentral:rRNA from 1 species